AUUGAACGCUGGCGGCAGGCUUAACACAUGCAAGUCGAGCGGAGAUGAGGUGCUUGCACCUUAUCUUAGCGGCGGACGGGUGAGUAAUGCUUAGGAAUCUGCCUAUUAGUGGGGGACAACAUUCCGAAAGGAAUGCUAAUACCGCAUACGUCCUACGGGAGAAAGCAGGGGAUCUUCGGACCUUGCGCUAAUAGAUGAGCCUAGGUCGGAUUAGCUAGUUGGUGGGGUAAAGGCCUACCAAGGCGACGAUCUGUAGCGGGUCUGAGAGGAUGAUCCGCCACACUGGGACUGAGACACGGCCCAGACUCCUACGGGAGGCAGCAGUGGGGAAUAUUGGACAAUGGGGGGAACCCUGAUCCAGCCAUGCCGCGUGUGCGAAGAAGGCCUUAUGGUUGUAAAGCACUUUAAGCGAGGAGGAGGCUACUGAGACUAAUACUCUUGGAUAGUGGACGUUACUCGCAGAAUAAGCACCGGCUAACUCUGUGCCAGCCGCCGCAGUAA
rnacentral:rRNA from 1 species